rnacentral:rRNA from 1 species
AACGUAGGUGGCAAGCGUUAUCCGGAAUUACUGGGCGUAAAGGGCGCGUAGGCGGCGUGUCAAGUCAGGCGUGAAAGCCCCGGGCUCAACCUGGGAACCGCGCUUGAGACUGGCAUGCUCGAGUUCGGGAGAGGAUGGUGGAAUUCCCAGUGUAGAGGUGAAAUUCGUAGAUAUUGAGAAGAACACCGAUGGCGAAGGCAGCCAUCUGGACCGACACUGACGCUGAGGCGCGAAAGCGUGGGGAGCAAACAGG